CCUACGGGUGGCAUCAGUGGGGAAUAUUGGACAAUGGGGGCAACCCUGAUCCAGCCACGCCGCGUGUGUGAAGAAGGCCCUCGGGUUGUAAAGCACUUUCAGCGAGGAAGAACGCCUGGUGGUUAAUACCCAUCAGGAAAGACAUCACUCACAGAAGAAGCACCGGCUAACUCCGUGCCAGCAGCCGCGGUAAUACGGAGGGUGCGAGCGUUAAUCGGAAUUACUGGGCGUAAAGCGCGCGUAGGUGGCUUGAUAAGCCGGUUGUGAAAGCCCCGGGCUCAACCUGGGAACGGCAUCCGGAACUGUCAAGCUAGAGUGCAGGAGAGGAAGGUAGAAUUCCCGGUGUAGCGGUGAAAUGCGUAGAGAUCGGGAGGAAUACCAGUGGCGAAGGCGGCCUUCUGGACUGAAACUGACACUGAGGUGCGAAAGCGUGGGUAGCAAACAGGAUUAGAUACCCUGGUAGUC
rnacentral:rRNA from 1 species